AUAAAUGCAAUGAAUAGAAGGAGUAAUCAUGAUUUAAGGCAGAGAGAUCUUCUGGCAGGUGAAAAGAAGAGCUUAGACAUGAUGAAGGUAGUCUAGGAGCAGACAAUCUGAAAUACAGUAAGAUUGUACGUACACACAACGUUAUGUGAAAUAAGGCAUACUUUGUAUGUGAAUUUAGGUGGUACCACGUUUAGCACGUCCUAUAU
rfam:Eubacterium cylindroides T2-87 draft genome.